GAUUAUUCCCGGGCGAGUCCUUGAGUAAGAGGGAGCGCAUUUUUUUUGUGUGAUUUCGAAUCAGUUUUACGGACGUUUAUUCGCGAUGGACAUCGGAUAUAAUGAUGUCCUCGGAAACGACCCAGACCAAAACAAUCUGCAUGACUGAAUAUCACCCGAGCCAUCAGCAUUAACCCUGGUGGACUGCUGCCAGCAGGAGGUCAGCUGUGGUGGGUAAAAGAGGGGGAGGAGGACCUGGGUGUGUGAUUGUACAUGUGCAUAUGAAGGGCAGAUGGGGUCAUGGGGUCAACUACAGUGAUUAAAAGGAGCUUGGUUUACCCGACGAGGGCCACAUAGUGACCAACUGGAGCUGCAGCACUAUCAUCCAGUCGGUUUUGAACUCAUCGAGAGAAGAGGAAGAGACGGGCGGAUCAAAGAAACUAUUCACAAAGAGCUUUAUACGAAACAAGGGCGGAUGGAGGACAAAAGGAACAGAACUGCUGAAGAGGAGCUAAAAUGGAGGAGAUGACGGUGGAGGAGAUAUAAGUUUGUGUGGUUCAAGUUCCCCAAAACAGCCAGGAUGGAGGAGACACACACUUACAGCCAGCUAAAUUUUGUGACCUGAAGAUACAGGCGUUUGAUUGGACGGUUAAAAUCUGAAAAUCCAGAGGAUCAAAGGCUUCGGUGUCGCUGAUUGUUCUUCCUAUCACUCCCAAAAAAAAGUAUGAAAGAUUUAAAAGUAAUGGAACCAAACUGAAGUCUUUCAUCUUUGGGUUAUGCAAUUGUUAACCUGUAAAGAGCGCACGGCAUCUGCAACACUGCUCAAGAAGAUCAGUAGAUGAUGAUGAUGAUGAUGAUGAAGGUGAUUGUCACCCUGAGGCCGAGGGUGCUGCUGAUUGUGGUGUGGAACAGGAACAGCGAGUUCACAGAUUUUGAGCUCGCUGUGAUCGUGUGAGGAGGACUAAGAGUCCGUAGCACGGACUUUAACAGAGCAGAUUCUUCUCGAAUAAUGAGCUUCAGGUUUUUAAAGCCCCGUAUUUGGAGACGCCUGCUUCAGUUCUACGAGAUGAAGGCCUGGGAGCACAUGCUGGACUCAUCGGCAUCCAUCUGUCUUAGCACAAAGGAAGAAACAUCUUUGCAGCAGCUGCCUUGUUAAUAAAUAGACAUGAAGGAUACAUGGUCGUUUCUAUGGAGAGGUCGGGAAUGUUUCUGGUGUUAAUAACAUGGGACAUUACGUUCUACUCUUUCUAGGGCUCAUUCAGUUUAGUUUUUUUUUAUUUGACUACAAAAAGACUUUGAAAUUGCUCUUUUUGUCAUUUACUGAGAUAAAUAUUUACAUAACCUUAUUAUUCUUAACAUUUUCAUUACAUUAUACAUCCAUCUUUUGUCAUUCAGUCACUUUCUGUUCAAAUAUUACCUCUCAGUAUAAUAGUUUUGAUUGUUAGUGGCGAGGUCCACCAUUCCUGUCCUCAGCUGUACGGACAUUUGUAGCAUCUUUCAGCUAAUUGUUUUCAUUUUCUGGCCCCCAGCUUUACAGUUUUAAUAAAUUUCUCACCGAACUCAACAGUGCUGUGUUUUUGGAUGCAGUCGUUUACGGGUGAAGAAUCACAAAAAGCUCCACUGUACACUGCCAGUCCAUCGCCAAAUGGCCAUCAGACAAAGUUAGCUUGAUCGCAGUGGAGCAUUUAGCUGCUAAAGAGCCAGAUAGCUCCAUCAAGACUCGGUAGAGAGAAAAAACUGAGCUAAACGGUUAGUAAAUAUUAGAUUUACAUUCACCAGGUGGCCAGAAACAUGAAUCCAAAUGAAUGCUAAUGUUGCUCUGUAUCUUUUAGUUGGGUAAAUUCACCAAAUUCAAAUGUCUGUGUUGUGUUUACUGAUUGUUUCUGCUGCCUCCAAGUGG